AAUAUUUGAAAAAGGAAUGUUUUUGACGAUUGAUGUAGGGACGCUACGGGAGAAUUCGGGAAGAGAGAACAGACGAGAUUUUCUUAAUCUCGUACUAAACUGUUUUUUCCAUAACUUUAGUCGUUGAUUUCGGGAUAGAUUAUUUAAUACUGCAAAGUCUUUAAAAAUUUUACUUUAAACAUGGGAGAAGAAAGAGAUAAUGACAAAG